rnacentral:rRNA from 1 species
UACGUAGGGUGCAAGCGUUAUCCGGAAUUAUUGGGCGUAAAGAGCUCGUAGGCGGUUUGUCGCGUCUGCUGUGAAAACUGGAGGCUCAACCUCCAGCCUGCAGUGGGUACGGGCAAACUAGAGUGCGGUAGGGGAGAUUGGAAUUCCUGGUGUAGCGGUGGAAUGCGCAGAUAUCAGGAGGAACACCAAUGGCGAAGGCAGUGUCCUGGGAAGUACCUGACGCUCAGGUGCGAAAGCUAGGGGAGCGAACAGG